rfam:Neotoma lepida isolate 417 scaffold_8183, whole genome shotgun sequence.
UUACCAGUCAGGCUCUGGCUAUACUCCAGGACAGAGUGGGUCCUGGGUAUAACCAAAGCCCGACUGAACA